rnacentral:rRNA from 1 species
AGUGAACGCUGGCGGCAGGCCUAAUACAUGCAAGUCGAACGGACACAUAGUAAGCUUUCUCCUCUACGGGUGGCGAGGGGCGGACGGGUGAGGAAUACAUCAGAUACUUAUUUUUCUGGGGGGACAACGGGGGGAAACAUAUGCUACUAGCGCAUAUGACCAACGGGUUAAAUCAAUAGUUCUAGAGAGUUUUCGUGACACUUAUAGACGAUGUCGCAUUAGCUAGUUGGCGUGGUAAAGGCCCACCAAGGCGACGAUCCGUAGCUGGUCUGAGAGGAUGAUCAGCCACACUGGAACUGAGACACGGUCCAGACUCCUACGGGAGGCAGCAGUGGGGAAUAUUGGGCAAUGGGCGCAAGCCUGAUCCAGCAAUGCCGCGUGGGUGAAGAAGGCCUUCGGGUUGUAAAGCCCUUUUGUUGGGAAAGAAAAGCAGCAGGUUAAUACCCCGCUGUUCUGACGGUACCCAAAGAGUAAGCACCGGCUAACUUCGUG